CAGCAGCCACGGUAAUACGAAGGGGGCUAGCGUUGCUCGGAAUGACUGGGCGUAAAGGGCGCGUAGGCGGAUCACGCAGUCAGAUGUGAAAUUCCUGGGCUUAACCUGGGGGCUGCAUUUGAGACGCGUAGUCUAGAGUGUGAAAGAGGGUCGUGGAAUUCCCAGUGUAGAGGUGAAAUUCGUAGAUAUUGGGAAGAACACCAGUGGCGAAGGCGACUGACUGGACAAGUAUUGACGCUGAGGUGCGAAAGCGUGGGGAGCAAACAGGAUUAGAUACCCCCGUAGUCCCUGUCUCUUAUAC
rnacentral:rRNA from 1 species